GAUGAACGCUGGCGGCGUGCCUAAUACAUGCAAGUCGAGCGAACAGACGAGGAGCUUGCUCCUCUGACGUUAGCGGCGGACGGGUGAGUAACACGUGGAUAACCUACCUAUAAGACUGGGAUAACUUCGAGAAACCGGAGCUAAUACCGGAUAAUAUAUUGAACCGCAUGGUUCAAUAGUGAAAGACGGUUUUGCUGUCACUUAUAGAUGGAUCCGCGCCGCAUUAGCUAGUUGGUAAGGUAACGGCUUACCAAGGCAACGAUGCGUAGCCGACCUGAGAGGGUGAUAGGCCACACUGGAACUGAGACACGGUCCAGACUCCUACGGGAGGCAGCAGUAGGGAAUCUUCCGCAAUGGGCGAAAGCCUGACGGAGCAACGCCGCGUGAGUGAUGAAGGUCUUCGGAUCGUAAAACUCUGUUAUUAGGGAAGAACAAAUGUGUAAGUAACUAUGCACGUCUUGACGGUACCUAAUCAGAAAGCCACGGCUAACUACGUG
rnacentral:rRNA from 1 species